UACGUAGGGUCCGAGCGUUGUCCGGAAUUAUUGGGCGUAAAGGGCUCGUAGGCGGUUUGUCACGUCGGGAGUGAAAUUCCCACAGCUUAACUGUGGAAUUGCUUCCGAUACGGGCAGACUUGAGGCAUUCAGGGGAGAACGGAAUUCCUGGUGUAGCGGUGAAAUGCGCCAGAUAUCAGGAGGAACACCGGUGGCGAAGGCGGCUCGCUGGGACGGUACUGACGCUA
rnacentral:rRNA from 1 species